GACUCUGUCACCUCAGUUUAUCACAGUGCCCACCUGCAGUGCCACCCAAGGCCUCCUCCUUGUCAUGUGUCCUGUUCCUGGGCUGGCUCUGAUCUUUUCUGCACAAACUCUGUCGCAUGCACUUUUAGGAUCUGCUGGCAUUGUGCUGCCCUCUCCCCUCCUUUCUGGACUGGGUGCUGACCUUUGGGGUGACCUUCCCAGUGCUCUCCUCCUCCUUGCCUGGCCCUGGCGCCUGCUUCCCCAGUCGCAGAGCGCCCUCUAGGAAACGCAUUUUGCAGGAAGCCGGCCUCUUUGCACAGAGGCAGGAACUGGGCUUUACAUUAAAAAUAGCAUAUCUGGGAUGACGCAGCGGGAGAAAGCCGAGCUGGACCCAAGACUGCUGACGUUGGCGUUCCCUCCGCUGCUUCAGUUCCUGUGCCAGGAAAGAUAAGAAAACUAAGGCUUUGAUGCCUCACUGCUAACAAAAGAUGGAGCCUGUGUUCGGAUCCACAUGCCUGAGUUGGAAGCCUGUGCUUUUUUCAUCGUCCUGCUGCCUGCUCAUCUUCCUCCAAAUGAGAGCAUUGUUCUUCAGCUUUCCGGGAAUUCUGUGAGCUACCCAGAUCUUUGCUUUGUUCUUUCAAGCAUCACAAUGUUUAUAAAUAUAUGCAGUUAUAUAAACCCAGCGCAUGAACAUGAUCUGAUAGCUCAGACUUUGUACUGAUUUUCUUUUCCACGCUGCUAUUUAACGGGAAGCUCAGAGAUAACGCAUACAAACCCGAGUUCCUGGGGCCACACCGUCCUAUCACGCCUCGCCUUGUCCCCCUCCUCGCGACUCCGCUCCCCUAGGUGCUCCAGGGAAACAGCCCGAUGCCGUGUUAAAUUAUUUUUCUGCCAUAAAACAGCAGCAAACACUGAAGGCUCUACUUUUCAAAUCAUCUGACUCUGCCUCUCAUUGCUGCCACCCCCAGAUCCAAGAUCUAUUUGCUGUCAGCUGGGUGAUUGUAAGAACCUGUUCCAUGCCACUCAUCUUCUCAGUAGACCAGUCAGCUC